ACAACUCUUCUGUUGGGAGAAGUUGUGUUUUACUUCACUUGAAGAAACUGAAAGGAGUUUAAACGAGGUAGUUGAUUCUUCUGUACCUAUUUGACUAAGCAGCUAGCUCAAUGUGACCACUGCAUUUUCCUGCACUGGAGCAGCUGAAGAAGUAAUGCCCUCCGUGGGAGAGCAAAACAACCAAGUCCACAGUAGAGUGACCCAGCCUGCAGCAAAAAGCUCACCUCAGAGGGACCCUGAGGAUUUCCAUCAGGACAAGACUCUAUCGCUGUGGAGAGGGGGAUGUGUAGCUGUGAGGAACAUUAAGAAGGCUUCUUGCAUCCAUUUCACAAGUGCAUCUGGGCAAAGGAAAAUGACAAAAAGAGACACUAGAAAAGUCAAAGUAGGCCAAAGAAGGAUUUCUUCUAGGAAUAUCGAUGUUGCCGCACUGAAACAGGUGUGUACCCCAAUGGAGUAUUAUGAUUUUCUUUGGCCACUGCAAGCAAAAGUGAGUAUCUAGGAAUUUAUACAUAGCUGCAUGUAUACAGAGAUACCACUGCUGCUGGAGAUCAAAGAACAUACUGUUGAUGCCUCUUGCAGUAGUGGUACCUGGGACCCAAGAGACUUGCAUGAAGGGUGUUGAGAUGGGCUCGUUUACUGAAAGGUUUAUGGUUGAGAUCGGUCCACAGCUGAUGGAUCAUCUGGUUAAAGUUGCUCUUAGUCACAAAUAAACAAAGGGAAUGAUAGAAAAAACCCAACCCAAACUCCAAAACUCUAGGCAGCAUCCAUCCGGGAACAGCAGGAACAGGACACCAGACAAAUGUCCUCCUC